UCAGCAGCCGCGGUAAAACGUAGGAGGCGAGCGUUAUCCGGAUUUACUGGGCGUAAAGCGCGCGCAGGCGGCUUCGUGAGUCGGACGUGAAAGCUCCUGGCUUAACUGGGAGAGGUCGUUCGAUACUGCGAGGCUUGAGGUUGGGAGAGGGGUGCGGAAUUCCCGGUGUAGUGGUGGAAUGCGUAGAUAUCGGGAGGAACACCAGUGGCGAAGGCGGCACCCUGGCCCACACCUGACGCUGAGGUGCGAAAGCGUGGGUAGCAAACAGGAUUAGAUACCCUGGUAGUCCACGCCGUAAACGAUGUCAACUAGGUGUCGGUAGUGUUACACUAGCGGUGCCGUAGCUAACGCGUUAAGUUGACCGCCUGGGGACUACGGCCGCAAGGCUAAAACUCAAAGGAAUUGACGGGGGCCCGCACA
rnacentral:rRNA from 1 species